rnacentral:rRNA from 1 species
UACGGAGGGUGCAAGCGUUAAUCGGAAUUACUGGGCGUAAAGCGUGCGCAGGCGGUUUGUUAAGUCCGCUGUGAAAUCCCCGAGCUCAACUUGGGAAUUGCAGUGGAUACUGGCGAGCUGGAGUAUGGUAGAGGAAGGUGGAAUUCCCGGUGUAGCAGUGAAAUGCGUAGAGAUCGGGAGGAACACCAGUGGCGAAGGCGGCCUUCUGGACCAAUACUGACGCUCAUGCACGAAAGCGUGGGGAGCAAACAGG